UGUGUGUGUGUGUGUGUGUGUGUGUGUGUCUGUGUGAGUCGACCUCAAACCACCAGGGAAGCUGCUGCGAGGACAACAUGAUGUGGCUUUCAGCUCCACCUCAUGGAUUCCAAACGUUAACGGGCCGAUGCAGAAUCAUCUUUGGAACAUGCACGGCUCUGCCCUCAUGAUGAUGUCUGAGCCGAGAUAUUGAGAUGACGUUUCAGACCACGGUCUUCAUCACACAGAGGACCACAGUCCACCUUUGAUGGACCCGGUAAACCUGUGCAGCUGAAGCAGAGAUGCUCGGGAAGUGUAGGACCCUCCAGGCCUGGGGCAGGAUAUUUGAAGCCAUCUGCAGAUCUGUAUGCAAUGUAGACAUGGUGGAAAGUGAGCUGACAUAAACGCUUCAAGACAACAACAAUAGAAACCUUUGUGAUAUUUUGUUGUCCAAGAAAAUAUAAAAGUUCAAAGUUU